GGCUACUCGAUGAUCUUUUCUUUGCCUUUGCUUGAUUCUCCUCCUUUAACUCCUUGAGCUUAAUAAAUAAAUCAACUAGUUUAGCCAUCUUGCUAAACAUUCAUAAUUCAAUUACACAUGCAUAUGUAUGUUUGUAUAUUCGGCAACCAUCCUCACUAAUUACCCAUUUAGUCGAUUAUACACAUAAUUAAAGGUAACAUCACGAAUGGGCAUACUUAUGUAUAUAUAUGUAUAUAUACUUCGGAAUGGGCAUCACAAUUAGAUUUAACACCACCUUCAUACUCAAUUAGAUGGCCAAAUGUAUGUAUAUAUGUACAAUGUCAACUAUAACAUCAUUUAAACACCUAAUUUCAUCUCAUGAACACUUGAUCGAAUUUUCCUAAUCUAGCAUAUUUUCACAUCUAUUUGUAACAUCAUGUAAAUCCACAUAUAACUACAUUUCUUAAGUUCCACAUCUUAAUGCCCAUUAUAGCCACUCCCAUAGUCUAAAUCUAGCAAUCGGCAACACCCACCUUUCCACUAUGUUAGCGAAUACUCAUUCUCUUCUUAGUCCUAAAUUCGGCACCUCCAACAAAAUAGCUUAACAAUUUCAACUUUCAUGCUAACAUAACAAGCAACUUAACACAUCCAUAUAACUAGCAUGCUAAUAGCAUCAAGGUAUCAACUAAAAUAUUUUAAGCUCCUUAGCCGAAUCCUAACUCUCCAACAACCCCAAAUCCAACCAUGGGAUAGAUAGAAUUUAGACUCAUCACCCAAAGGUUGUGUAAACUUCCAAAAAUAUCAUUGAACAUACCUUGAUCUAAAGGACCACCUUGGCCGAAUCUUGCUUCUUCUUCUUCCUCUAGUUACGACAAUUGCAAAAUAAAGAAAACAUGAACACUCCUUCUUCCCUCCUUAUUAAGCAUUCAAACUCCCUCAUUUUCAUGCCACAACAUCAAACACUCCUCCUAGAUACAAGCAAUGGCCGAACUUCUUCAAAAUUUUUCUCCCUUUCUUUUUCUUGGUUUUUC
rnacentral:lncRNA from 1 species